rnacentral:lncRNA from 10 species
UGGCAUGAGAAGCCUGCAGUUUUGAAAGACCAUUGUGUACAAUGGUUAGACAUAGGGAGGGAGAAAGGAGGCUCCAGGAAGAAUCGGAAUGAGAACUGAUGAGGACCUGAACUGCAGCAGGAGGAGAGAGAGUGGCGAGGACGUCUCACGUGUGAGGACGUCUCACGUGCUGUCAUGUCAUUUAUUGGCACCACCUUCAACACAACUACUCAAGCCCAGUUGCUGAGCAUCAUCUGGAAUCCUUUCACCUUCCCAUGCACAAUCCUUGAGAUCCGGAGAUGCUACCUCCAAAAGGCAACCAAAAAAUCUAACGACGACUCACUAUCUUCCCAUCUACUGUCCAGUUGUGUAUAUAUGCGUCUAUGGACCAGAAGAGGAAGAGAUACACAAGGGCACACACCAGGAGAAUGUCAUGUGACAAUGGAAGCAGAGAUUGGAGAGCUGUGUCUAUAAGCCAAGUAACAUCAAGGAUUGCUGGCAACACCAAAAGCUAAGAGAAAGGCGUGGAACGGACUCCCACCUUGAGCCUUCAGAGACAGCGUGGACCUACUGACACCUUGACUUCAGACUUCUAGCCAGAACUUUGAGAGAAUAAAUUUCUGUUUUUUAAGACCCCGUGUUUGUGGUACUUUGUUAUGGCUGCCCUAGUGUAUGCCAUUUGGGUAAAAUUAGAUAACAAAAUAUUUCUAAAAUGAAAUCUAGCUCUAAGGUUGGUGGAUUUUAUGCAGAGUAAUUAGUAAGGGUAUGAAGGUAAGCACAAUAAAGUAUUUGGGGGACCUGGAAAUGAUUUCUAAAGCACGUCUUAUUCCUCGAAGGUAAA